UACGUAUGGAGCAAGCGUUAUCCGGAUUUACUGGGUGUAAAGGGAGCGUAGGCGGCAUACCAAGCCUGAUGUGAAAACCCGGGGCCCAACCCCGGGAGUGCAUUGGGAACUGGCAAGCUAGAGUGUCGGAGAGGCAGGCGGAAUUCCUAGUGUAGCGGUGAAAUGCGUAGAUAUUAGGAGGAACACCAGUGGCGAAGGCGGCCUGCUGGACAGUAACUGACGUUGAGGCUCGAAAGCGUGGGGAGCAAACAGG
rnacentral:rRNA from 1 species